UACAGAGGUCUCAAGCGUUGUUCGGAUUCAUUGGGCGUAAAGGGUGUGUAGGUGGCGCGCUAAGUCGGGUGUGAAAUUUCGGAGCUUAACUCCGAAACUGCAUUCGAUACUGGCGUGCUUGAGGACUGGAGAGGAGACUGGAAUUCAUGGUGUAGCAGUGAAAUGCGUAGAGAUCAUGAGGAGACCAGUGGCGAAGGCGGGUCUCUGGACAGUUACUGACACUCGAACUGACGAAAGGCGUGGGGAGCAAACACGG
rnacentral:rRNA from 1 species